CAACUUUCAACAAUGGAUCUCUUGGCUCUGGCAUCGAUGAAGAACGCAGCGAAAUGCGAUACGUAAUGCGAAUUGCAGAUCUCAGUGAGUCAUCGAAUCUUUGAACGCAUACUGCGCCCGCCAGCAUUCUGGUGGGCAUGUCUGUCCGAGCGCUACU
rnacentral:rRNA from 1 species